GACGAACGCUGGCGGCGUGCCUAAUACAUGCAAGUAGGACGAAGUUGCGAACGGGUGAGUAACGCGUAGGUAACUACCUAUUAGAGGGGGAUAACUAUUGGAAACGAUAGCUAAUACCGCAUACUAGUAGAUGGACAUGCGUUGUAUUAGCUAGUAGGUAGGGUAAUGGCCUACCUAGGCCACGAUACAUAGCCUACCUGAGAGAGGGAUCGGCCACACGGGUACUGAGACACGGCCCAGACUCCGACGAGAGGCAGCAGUAGGGAAGCUUCGGCAAUUGGGUGAACCCUGACCGAGCAACGCCGCGUGAGUGAAGAAGGUUUUCGGAUCGUAAAGCUCUGUUGUUAAGGAAGCGGUACUUAACCAGAAAGGGACGGCUAACUACGGGCCAGCAGCCGCGGUAAUAC
rnacentral:rRNA from 1 species